GACAGAGGUGCCGAGCGUUAGGCGGAAUCACUGGGCUUAAAGCGUGUGUAGGCGGACUUCUAAGUACCUUGUGAAAUCCCACGGCUCAACCGUGGAACUGCUGGGUAUACUGGCGAUCUUGAGCCACCUAGGGGCGAGCGGAACAAGCGGUGGAGCGGUGAAAUGCGUAGAUAUCGCUUGGAACGCCAAAGGUGAAGACAGGCAACUGGAGAUGUGCCGACGCUGAGACGCGAAAGCCAGGGGAGGCGAACGGG
rnacentral:rRNA from 1 species